UGUUAAACAGCUAAACAGUCGGCUGUUGGGCUGUUAACAGCCGACUGUUCAGCUGUCAACAGCCAACUGUUGGCUGUUAAACA
rnacentral:miRNA from 1 species